rnacentral:lncRNA from 1 species
GCCCAGACAAAAUUAAACCAACAAAUAAAUAAAACAGUCCAAAAUUACUAGUCAUUUGCAACAGAUCCAAAUCAAAACAGCCCAAAAAAAUUAAAAGCCCAAUUAGCCCAACAUCUAAAACAUUUUUAGAAAAAACCCUAGCCCCUAACCUAGGCGCCGCACGUCUUUUCAGCCACCUGCCCUCUGUGCGCCGCUGCCACCACUGCUCCG